CCAGACUCCUACGGGAGGCAGCAGUGGGGAAUAUUGCACAAUGGGGGGAACCCUGAUGCAGCGACGCCGCGUGGGCGAGGAAGUAUUUCGGUAUGUAAAGCCCUAUCGGCAGGGAAGAAGAAAUGACGGUACCUGAAUAAGAAGCACCGGCUAAAUACGUGCCAGCAGCCGCGGUAAUACGUAUGGUGCAAGCGUUAUCCGGAUUUACUGGGUGUAAAGGGGGCGCAGACGGCAGCGCAAGCCAGGAGUGAAAGCCCGGGGCCCAACCCCGGGACUGCUCUUGGAACUGCGCGGCUGGAGUGCAGGAGGGGCAGGCGGAAUUCCUGGUGUAGCGGUGAAAUGCGUAGAUAUCAGGAGGAACACCGGUGGCGAAGGCGGCCUGCUGGACUGCGACUGACGUUGAGGCCCGAAAGCGUGGGGAGCAAACAGGAUUAGAUACCCUUGUAGAC
rnacentral:rRNA from 1 species